rfam:Gorilla gorilla gorilla genomic chromosome, chr1, whole genome shotgun sequence
AUCCCUUCGUAGUUCAUAAGCGUGAUGACUGGUUUUCACGCUCAUGUGUGAGAUGUCCCUCCCUCAAACCUAUGAUGACAUUGUCACGUUACCAGUCUGAUG